rnacentral:rRNA from 1 species
UGGGGGAUAUUGCACAAUGGGCGAAAGCCUGAUGCAGCGACGCCGCGUGGGGGAUGAAGGCCUUCGGGUUGUAAACUUCUUUUGCUCUGAACAAGGCAUGCCUUUGGGGUGUGUUGAGUGUAGGGGUUGAUUAGCGCCGGCUAACUACGUGCCAGCAGCCGCGGUAAUACGUAGGGCGCGAGCGUUGUCCGGAAUUAUUGGGCGUAAAUGGCUUGUAGGUGGCUGGUUGCGUCUGUCGUGAAAGCUCAUGGCUUAACUGUGGGUUUGCGGUGGGUACGGGCUGGCUUGAGUGCAGUAGGGGGGGCUGGAAUUCCUGGUGUAGCGGUGGAAUGCGCAGAUAUCAGGAGGAAUACCGGUGGCGAAGGCGGGUCUCUGGGCUGUUACUGACGCUGAGGAGCGAAAGCGUGGGGAGCGAACAGG